rnacentral:tRNA from 1 species
GCUGCGGUGGUGUAAUGGUAGCACGUAAGCCUGUGGAGCUUGAGGACCGAGUUCGAUCAACUGCAAACUCAGUUGACACGUUAGGUCGGCGUGAAGCCGACCAGUGCGCUUCGCGCAUAAGGCGAGGUUGCAGUUCGAGAUCCUCGGCCGUGGCC